GACGAACGCUGGCGGCGUGCCUAAUACAUGCGAGUUGAGCGAUGAAGAUUGGUGCUUGCACCAAUUUGAAGAGCAGCGAACGGGUGAGUAACGCGUGGGGAAUCUGCCUUUGAGCGGGGGACAACAUUUGGAAACGAAUGCUAAUACCGCAUAACAACUUUAAACAUAAGUUUUAAGUUUGAAAGAUGCAAUUGCAUCACUCAAAGAUGAUCCCGCGUUGUAUUAGCUAGUUGGUGAGGUAAAGGCUCACCAAGGCUAUGAUACAUAGCCGACCUGAGAGGGUGGGCGGCCACAUUGGGACUGUGACACGGCCCAAACUCCUACGAGAGGCAGCAGUAGGGAAUCUUCGGAAAUGGACGAAAGGCUGACCGAGCAACGCCGCGUGAGUGAAGAAGGUUUUCGUAUCGUAAAACUCUGUUGGUAGAGAAGAACGUUGGUGAGAGUGGAAAGCUCAUCAAGUGACGGUAACUACCCAGAAAGGGACGGCUAACUACGUG
rnacentral:rRNA from 1 species